rnacentral:lncRNA from 1 species
UGUACAAAAAGUUUAAGCAAAUCUGUGUGUGAACAAGCAACCUUUCGAGCUAGGGCGUAACGACAUUUUCCAGCCCGCAGAUGUUCCGGCCAACUCGUGGUGGGGGUCUAUCGAACAUGUCCGACUGGUGCCCACGCCAUAGCAGUCCGUUUGUCUCCACGUUGGCACAAAUUUCUCACUGUAUUAACUGCUUGGGGAAACUUCAAUUAUUAAUUUUGGGAGCUUGCCUAGUCUUGCUGUUUGGCUUGGUCCCAUGCGAAAUUAAGAAAAGAAGAGCAGCUCAUCAGAAGACAAGAAUAAAAUAAUUAAUGUCAAUAAUUUAUAUGUUUAUAAUAUUUAAAAAAAUGUUAAUUUUCAGGAACCUGGACUACCGGGAGCCGUAGUAUGUAAUGAGCAAUUGAAUGGCUGUGAUAAGGGAAAGAGACGAGAGGUGGUUAGCACAGUUUAUUGCUGCAAUAAACAUCCCAGGGAGCUCUAAAACUGUUUUUCUUAUUUAUGCCACACCUGAGGUGGUUAUUCUCCUUGGAAUGGAAUUACGUGAGUGGUGCAUGUUAUCGACCAUUAAUGGGAUCUUCCGGUUCGCCCGACUUCAACCUUGCACGCAACAGUCUGAGAGGCGGCGAGGCGGAGGGAUAAACUAUUUGAAUGGUGGCCGAGAUAUUCAAUUCCCUUGCUGAAUGCACAAUGGGCUGAAUUGUGAGCGAGAAGUCGUAAACCCCUUCGAUACAUAUUCAGCAGGUUCGUUAGAGAACCGGACGGUGUGAAGUUGAAGCGUUGGUUCAUCGUGACAUAUUCAGUCAGUGAAAGUUAUAAGAAAAGAAAGGUUGGCGUGGCAGAGGUCAGAUUCCGCGAAUGCCGGAAAAAACAAAGUUGGUGCAAAUGAAAAUAGCAACGAGCUGUUUUUGGUUCAACCCACACAGGCGUUGCCUUGGCCGACAUACAAAGGGAUUUAAGAGCGAAGGGGUUGUAAAAUGUUCACGGAUGCUAAUCUGUUGCCUGCUUAAGGAAAAAUACAAUUUUAAGACAAAAACAGGAAAACUUACACUAUUAAAAUUGUAGUGUAUAAGCUCAGGAAAUCCAAUACUAGGAUAUUAAUACUCUGUUAAAAAACAAAAUUUGGUACAUUUUUGUUAUACAAAUGCAGAAAAAGAGAAAAAGUACAUUUCUUUAUAAUAUUCUAGAUGUAUGGGAUGUGCAGUCAAUAUUUCAGUAAUAGCAUAAUAACAAAAAGACUGAUAGAUCUUUCAUAAAGUCUGUCAAUUUUAAUUUUGCCCAGCAGAUAUAAAACUUAUCGAUAAUAAGUCGCAACCAAAACAAAAAAAGAAUUCUUGAUCAUAAAAAAAUAACGACUUGACAAAUAAAAUAAACUAACAAUUGUAGAUACAGACAACGAUGAGUGUAAUAAACUGCAAUUUUCAAUCAACAAUAACAUCAAUCCUUCAUGCAAUUUGUACUGUUUAUUUUAUAUCUCUAUAUCAUUUUUAUCAUUCUAUAUCAAAUAUACAUUGCCUCGAGUUCAAAAUUACUUCAUUUUACUGUUCAAACUUAUAUUAAUUUUACUAAAAAAUGUUAUCAAAUCAAAUUUCUGUCUAAAAAUGGAUGAUAGUUGAUAAUAGUUAUACUAAUGUACCUUAUUACUAACGUUGUAUAGUAGAUAAUGACUUAUAAUUUUGCAUAAUUGAUUAACAAUUUCAUUUUCUAUGAAAUUUUAUUAUUUUUGUUGUUCCAAAGCUGUGCAUUAGGUUGUAUGCUAAUUAAUGUAUGCUAAUGCGUAAUGAAUAAUUCUGUGUGUUGCGAAAAAUAAUGUUAAAGUUUAUGUGUUUUUCUGUUGUUAAAACUUCUGUGAGCACUAUUUUAAAAUUAGUUAAUUAUUGUGUAUAAUAGAUUAAUAGUUUUUUCAUGUCAUAGAUUUAGACAACCAAGUUUAAAGUUUGAAUUUUCAGUUUCAAUUACAGCAAUAAACAUUGCAAAUGUA